AGCGAGAAAGGGGGGCAACUCCCUGAGUACAGCGGCGCACGGGUGAGUAACACGUGGGUAAUCUGCCCUGGAGUGGGGAAUAACACCGGGAAACCGGUGCUAAUACCGCAUACGAUCACGAUGUCUGCGGAUGACGUGAUGAAAGGAGCAAUUCGCUCCAGGAGGAGCUCGCGGCUGAUUAGCUAGUUGGUGAGGUAAUGGCUCACCAAGGCUACGAUCAGUAUCCGGUCUGAGAGGACGGUCGGACACACUGGAACUGAGACACGGUCCAGACUCCUACGGGAGGCAGCAGUGGGGAAUUUUUCGCAAUGGGGGCAACCCUGACGAAGCAACGCCGCGUGGAUGAUGAAGUAUCUCGGUACGUAAAAUCCUUUCGGCAGGGAAGAAACCGCANGGUUGACGGUACCUGUAGAAGAAGCCCCGGCUAACUCCGUGCCAGCAGCCGCGGUAAUACGGGGGGGGCUAGCGUUGUUCGGAAUUACUGGGCGUAAAGGGCGCGUAGGCGGUCUGCUAAGUUGGAUGUGAAAACUCUGGGCUUAACCCAGAGCCUGCAUUCAAUACUGACAGGCUAGAGUUCUGGAGGGGAUAGCGGAAUUCCUGGUGUAGCGGUGAAAUGCGUAGAUAUCAGGAGGAACACCGGUGGCGAAGGCGGCUAUUUGGACAGAGUCUGACGCUGAGGCGCGAAAGCUAGGGGGAGCAAACAGGAUUAGAUACCCUGGUUAGUCCUAGCCCUAAACGAUGGAUACUUGGUGUGACUGGGAUUUGAAUCCAGUCGUGCCGAACCUAACGCAUUAAGUAUCCCGCC
rnacentral:rRNA from 1 species